AUCACCUACCACUACAAACCCACCAACACUAUUGAAUGACUUCAUAAAUUAUGAAAACCCCCAUGCUAGAACUAGUAACAAGAAAAUGACUUUCUCCAAAGUGUAGCUGUGAACCAAAAUGGACAGCCCACUGGUACUUAACGUUAAUGAACCACUUAUAGCAACUUACCAAGAAAACCCUAUAACCACCCCCGUCAACCUUACACAAGAACACUUCUGGAAAGAUUAAAAGGAAGAGAAGGAACUCGGCAAACCUUAGCCCCGCCUGUUUACCAAAAACAUCGCCUCUUGAAAAAAUAUAAGAGGUCCAGCCUGCCCAGUGAUUUAAUUUAACGGCCGCGUGAUUUUAAACGCGCAAAGGUAGCACAAUCACUUGUUCUUUAAAUAAGGACUCGUAUCAACGGCAUCACGAGGGCUAUACUGUCUCCUCCCCCCAAUCAGUGAAACUAAUCUCCCCGUGAAAAAGCAGGGAUAACACUAUAAGACGAGAAGACCCCAUGGAGCUUAAAACACAGCAACAACUACAAUAAUAUUAACCCACAAAAUCUCAAGCCAUGUCUGCCAGUUUUAGGUUGGGGCGACCGCGGAGUACAACAAAACCUCCACAGCGAAAGAGACUCAACCCUUAUCCAAGAGACACCCCUCUAAGAAUCAAUAAUAUGACGCCCAAUGACCCGACUAUCGAUCAACGAACCAAGUUACCCUGGGGAUAACAGCGCAAUCUACUUCAAGAGCCCCUAUCGACAAGUAGGCUUACGACCUCGAUGUUGGAUCAAGGUAUCCCAGUGGUGCAGCCGCUACUAAAGG
rnacentral:rRNA from 1 species